GAUGAAGAACGCAGCGAAAUGCGAUACGUAAUGUGAAUUGCAGAAUUCAGUGAAUCAUCGAAUCUUUGAACGCAUAUUGCGCUCUUUGGUAUUCCGAAGAGCAUGCUUGUUUGAGUAUCAGUAAACACCUCAAAGACUUCAAUUUGUUUUGAAUGGCUUUGGACUUGAGCAAUCCCAACACCAGUCUUUACGAUCGGUGGAGGGUUGCUUGAAAUGCAGGUGCAGCUGGACAUUCUCCUGAGCUAAAAGCAUAUUUAUUUAGUCCCGUCAAACGGAUUAUUACUUUUGCUGCAGCUAACAUAAAGGGAGUUUGACCGUAUUGGCUAACUGAUGCAGGAUUUCACAAGGGUCGGCAACGAUUCUUGUAAAACUCGAUCUCAAAUCAAGUAAGACUACCCGCUGAACUUAAGCAUAUCAAUAAGCGGAGGA
rnacentral:misc_RNA from 1 species